rnacentral:snRNA from 1 species
AUAUUUACCUGACAGGGGAGAUACAAGGAUCACGAACGUAGUUUUUCCAAAGUGAGGCUCAUCCAUUGCACUCCAGAUGUGCUGACCCUGUAAUUUCCCUAAAUGUGGGAAACUCAACUGCAUAAUUUGUGGUACUGGGGAACUUUCCCCC